CUCAUCCUUUCCCAGUUCUCCAAAAAAAAUUCUCCUUCUUUCCCAAACCAAACCUUAUCUGUUCUCCUCCAUUCCCCCAAAUUGACCAGACCACCAGUCUGUCACUCGCUUCUCACUGCUGCCAACCGCUGGUCGCCGGUCUUGCCAACUCUCGCCGCCCUCUGCAGUGAGGGCCCUCCAGGCCUCCACGCCAGGUGCCGGGUGUUGGCUGCUGGUGCUUCUCCUUCUCUCACUGCUUCUCCGCUCACGCUGCAUGCUGCCGUGCAGUGGACCGCUGAUGCUGCCGCCGGCUAGUAAACUAAACAGUGAACUGUUGUUGAAGCGUCGAAGGAGCAAGACUGCUGCAAGAGCAAAGGUAACAACCAUGGUCUAGGAGAGCAUAUCUGUAGUUAUUGGUUGUAGGCAUCUUUUGGUCAGUCCGGUGUGUUCUACAGUUGUGGCUAUGGAGCACUUUUGGCCAGUUCGGUGUAUUCUACAGUUGUGGUUAUGGAGCACUGGAUAACAGUAGUAAUUAUCCACAAGACCAGGUGAAACAAACUAAUCAGGUGCAUCUUCGUGAGCAAAGAAAAAGGCAGACCAAAAUCUAUAGGAUAUGAGGCAGGCAGGCAGGCAGGCACUUCCAUCCCUAGAGGGGGCGUUGAGGGUCGGCGACCAUCACCUUGACGCUCGGCCCACGGGACUGCCAGGCAGGCAGGCAGGCAGGCAGGCAGGCACUUCCCAUCCCUAGAGGGGGCGUGGAGGGUCGGCGACCAUCACCUUGACGCUCGGCCCACGGGACUGCCAGGCAGGCAGGCAGGCAGGCAGGCAGGACAAACAAAAAUAAUACAUAGGGCACAACAAUGACAAGGCAUUUCUAGAUGCGAAAAUUGUAGUGCAAUUAGAUGAAAAAAUAUGAGCCGGACAUGAACACUCGGUAGGCUAAUUAACCAGAGGAAAGAAACGGCCACGACCUAAACUUUGAAUCUCACUUACGUCUCUAUUCCUCGCCCUUCUGCUACCUCACAUCCCAAUCCUUUUUCCCUUCCCUCUGUAUCUUGCCACACGACCAUGACGGAUUGCGGUUGUUCUUGGCCAAUCUCUACAAAAAUCAAUAAGCAGAGAAGCUGAACCAAUCUCUACAAAAACCAAAAGAAAAAAAUGUGCACACACAAGCACAUAUCAGCCAGUUCUAGCAUGCAUCCAUCCAUCAAAGCAUUAAGCCAUCAGCCAUCCAUUAGAGAAGUGAAAAAAGAAAGGAUUCAAACUUACACAU